rnacentral:rRNA from 1 species
GUAGGUGGCAAGCGUUGUCCGGAAUUAUUGGGCGUAAAGCGCGCGCAGGCGGUCCUUUAAGUCUGAUGUGAAAGCCCACGGCUCAACCGUGGAGGGUCAUUGGAAACUGGGGGACUUGAGUACAGAAGAGGAAAGCGGAAUUCCAAGUGUAGCGGUGAAGUGCGUAGAGAUUUGGAGGAACACCAGUGGCGAAGGCGGCUUUCUGGUCUGUAACUGACGCUGAGGCGCGAAAGCGUGGGGAGCAAACAGGGAUUAGAUACCCUGGUAGUCCACGCCGUAAACGAUGAGUGCUAAGUGUUAGGGGGGUUUCCCGCCCCCUUAGUGCUGCAGCUAACGCAUUAAGCACUCCGCCUGGGGAGUACGCCGCAAGGCUG